rnacentral:rRNA from 1 species
UACGGAGGGUGCAAGCGUUAUCCGGAUUUACUGGGUUUAAAGGGUGCGUAGGUGGGUUGGUAAGUCAGUGGUGAAAUCCCCGAGCUUAACUUGGGAACUGCCAUUGAUACUAUCUCUCUUGAAUAUCUUGGAGGUGAGCGGAAUAUGUCAUGUAGCGGUGAAAUGCUUAGAUAUGACAUAGAACACCAAUUGCGAAGGCAGCUGGCUACACGAGCAUUGACACUCAGGCACGAAAGCGUGGGGAUCAAACAGG